rnacentral:rRNA from 1 species
GUGGGGAAUAUUCCGCAAUGGACGAAAGUCUGACGGAGCAACGCCGCGUGAGUGAUGAAGGUUUUCGGACUGUAAAGCUCUGUUGUUUGGGACGAAAGUGCCUGUUGCGAACAGUUACGGGUAUUGACGGUACUAAACGAGGAAGCCACGGCUAACUACGUGCCAGCAGCCGCGGUAAUACGUAGGUGGCAAGCGUUGUCCGGAAUUAUUGGGCGUAAAGAGCAUGUAGGCGGGAAUCUAAGUCUGUUGUUAAAAUGCGGGGCUCAACCCCGUAUUGCGAUGGAAACUGAAUUUCUUGAGUGCAGGAGAGGAAAGGGGAAUUCCCAGUGUAGCGGUGAAAUGCGUAGAUAUUGGGAGGAACACCAGUGGCGAAGGCGCCUUUCUGGACUGUGUCUGACGCUGAGAUGCGAAAGCCAGGGUAGCGAACGGGAUUAGAAACCCUGGUAGUCC